UACGUAGGGGGCAAGCGUUGUCCGGAAUUAUUGGGCGUAAAGAGCGUGUAGGCGGCCAGAUAAGUCCGCUGUGAAAUCUCGAGGCUCAACUUCGAGCUGUCGGUGGAAACUAUCUGGCUAGAGUCCGGAAGAGGAGAAUGGAAUUCCUGGUGUAGCGGUGAAAUGCGUAGAUAUCCGGAGGAACACCGGUGGCGAAGGCGGCUUCCUGGACCGACACUGACGCUGAGGCGCGAAAGCUAGGGGAGCAAACGGG
rnacentral:rRNA from 1 species